CGAAUUGGCGGUACGGGCGGCCCCCCCGGUCGGUCCCGGGUCGCGUGUGGUGCCGCGUCAUGGCGGGGUUGGCGUCACACAUAAUACACCAUAAGCCAUAAGACACGUUAUGUACGACACAAACGGAAUGUACGACACGUACGACACACCGUACCUUCCGUUCCCCCCAUCCCUCUCCCUCACCUCCUUAAGCUCGGGGAAAGCCGCCACCAUCGCGAGCCUGCUGACCACCCCGGCCUCCAGAGCACUGCCCCG
rnacentral:lncRNA from 1 species